CCAUGCCGCGUGAGUGAAGAAGGCCUUCGGGUUGUAAAGCUCUUUCGGCUGGGACGAAAAGGUCCGUGUUAACACCACGGAUCCAUGACGGUACCAGCAGAAGAAGCACCGGCUAACUACGUGCCAGCAGCCGCGGUAAUACGUAGGGUGCAGGCGUUAAUCGGAAUUACUGGGCGUAAAGCGUGCGCAGGCGGUUUGCUAAGACAGGUGUGAAAUCCCCGGGCUUAACCUGGGAACUGCGCUUGUAACUGGCAAGCUAGAGUGUGGCAGAGGGGGGUGGAAUUCCAGGUGUAGCAGUGAAAUGCGUAGAGAUCUGGAGGAACACCGAUGGCGAAGGCAGCCCCCUGGGCUAACACUGACGCUCAUGCACGAAAGCGUGGGGAGCAAACAGGAUUAGAUACCCUGGUAGUCCACGCCCUAAACUAUGUCAACUGGUUGUCGGGGAAGCAAUUCCUUGGUAACGAAGCUAACGCGUGAAGUUGACCGCCUGGGGAGUACGGCCGCAAGGUUA
rnacentral:rRNA from 1 species